UCGGGAAUAUUGCGCAAUGGAGGAAACUCUGACGCAGUGACGCCGCGUAUAGGAAGAAGGUUUUCGGAUUGUAAACUAUUGUCGUUAGGGAAGAAAAAAUGACAGUACCUAAGGAGGAAGCUCCGGCUAACUACGUGCCAGCAGCCGCGGUAAUACGUAGGGAGCAAGCGUUAUCCGGAUUUAUUGGGUGUAAAGGGUGCGUAGACGGGCGAUCAAGUUAGUUGUGAAAUCCCUCGGCUCAACUGAGGAACUGCAACUAAAACUGGUUGUCUUGAGUGCGGGAGAGGUAAGUGGAAUUCCUAGUGUAGCGGUGAAAUGCGUAGAUAUUAGGAGGAACACCAGUGGCGAAGGCGACUUACUGGACUGUAACUGACGUUGAGGCACGAAAGUGUGGGGAGCAAACAGGAUUAGAUACC
rnacentral:rRNA from 1 species